AUCUUUCUAGUACCAAUUCAGUACAAGUGACUUCCAAUCACCUAGUCUUGGUUAAACUCCAGGGAAAGAUA
rnacentral:tRNA from 1 species